AUGUGUUAUUCCAAACUGAAAGAACAGCAUCGACCUAUCUUGUUUCCAUUUUUCCAUUACUGUUCCUUCUGAUCCGAAAGAAACUACAAAACAAAACCAAAGCAACUGCUUUGCUUCCUUGCUGUCUCUCUCCUCCAAUGGCGAAGAAGCCAGCCUCAUCCAUCUUCGACACCCUGAAGCGCUACAUCAAGAAGCCAUGGGAGUUCACUGGCCCACAAUCCCACCCAGAAUACAGAAACUCUAUUCUCCCCGCCACCCAGUACCGCGUGGAGAGCCCUGCCUCCACCAAGGUCCAGCCAUGGGUCCCCACUUCAAACCCGGAGACCGUCUUCGACAUCAAGUACUACACUCGCGACCAGCGUCGCAACCGCCCUCCGAUUCGCCGGACUGUGCUCAAGAAAGCUGAUGUGGAGAAGAUGAUGAAGGAGACCACCUUCGAUGUCAAAGACCUUCCCAGACCCUAUCUCGCUGUUGCGGUGCAGGAGGACUUGGAUACUCACGGUGGAGGGUACCAGAAAUAGUUUCGAGAGGGAGAUCAUGCAUGUAAAGUCUUAAAACCUGUGACAUUCAGCUUGUUGCCCUUCUGACUGCUGUGAUGUGGGGCAUAACCUCAAGGCUAAGGCUUGGAUUGUGGUGAAAUGGUUGUGCUCUGGUCUUCCGUCUGUUUCUCCCUGUCUUGCUCCAUGACUGAGGUUAUUCCAGAGUAUAGAUUUGCAUAGACUGUCCAUUAAAGAGGAUAUGUCUUUGAAUUAAUAAAUUUGUUUACCUUGCCUGCAAUUGGGUUUUAUUUCCUUUUUCUUCUUGCAUUCAGAUGUUUGUACAAAAUCCAAAUAUAACCGCAGGUUCGGUGCUGGAUGACUUGGAUGAUUAUGAAAUCUCAAACUUCUAGUUUUGUUUUGUUUUACAUGUGAUGAUCUAGUGAAACUCUUCAGUGUCAUUGUCUUUUCACCACUGCAACUAAAUAAACAUUCCCUGCCAGAAUUUGGAAAGGACGGGGGUAAGUCUCA